rnacentral:rRNA from 1 species
AAACUUAGUGGCGGACGGGUGAGUAACACGUGAGCAACCUGCCUAUCAGAGGGGGAUAACGAUUGGAAACGAUCGCUAAUACCGCAUGACAUAGCGGAACCGCAUGGUUCUGUUAUCAAAGAUUUAUCGCUGAUAGAUGGGCUCGCGUCCGAUUAGAUAGUUGGUGGGGUAACGGCCUACCAAGUCGACGAUCGGUAGCCGGACUGAGAGGUCGAACGGCCACAUUGGGACUGAGACACGGCCCAGACUCC